rnacentral:tRNA from 1 species
UAGAGUUGUUUUACUUUGCUUACAACAAAGUUUUUUAUAACUCUUU